rnacentral:rRNA from 1 species
UACGAAGGGGGCUAGCGUUGUUCGGAAUCACUGGGCGUAAAGGGCGCGUAGGCGGCUUUAUAAGUCGGGGGUGAAAGCCUGUGGCUCAACCACAGAAUUGCCUUCGAUACUGUAGAGCUUGAGACCGGAAGAGGUAAGUGGAACUGCGAGUGUAGAGGUGAAAUUCGUAGAUAUUCGCAAGAACACCAGUGGCGAAGGCGGCUUACUGGUCCG